CCCCCGCCUAGGGGUGGCGGCAGAACCCGGAUCCCGGAACGUCCAGUUCUCCGGAGCGGGGCUUCUGGAGACGGCGGGCGAGAAAACCCGGCGCCCGGAAGCCUUUGCUUUCUUUGACGCAAGGGCUCGGGACGCAGCCGCCUUCGGCCGAGCGCCCAGCGAGGAGCGACCCCAGACGGAGCCUUUGGAGUCCGUCCGCCCCCACCUCGCCCGGACCCCGAGCCUCGGUCCUCCUCGCCGCUCUCCUCGUGGCCAUGGAGUGUCCGCACCUCAGCUCCAGCGUCUGCAUCGCUCCGGACUCAGCCAAGUUCCCCAACGGCUCCCCGUCGUCGUGGUGCUGCAGCGUGUGCCGAUCCAACAAAAGCCCCUGGGUCUGUUUGACUUGUUCAAGUGUCCAUUGUGGAAGGUAUGUGAAUGGCCAUGCAAAGAAGCAUUAUGAAGAUGCACAAGUACCCUUAACCAACCAUAAGAAAUCAGAAAAACAAGAUAAAGCUCAGCACACAGUGUGUAUGGAUUGUAGUAGUUACAGUACAUACUGUUAUCGCUGUGAUGAUUUUGUGGUUAAUGACACCAAGCUGGGACUGGUACAGAAAGUCAGAGAACACUUGCAGAACUUGGAAAACUCAGCUUUCACAGCUGACAGGCAUAGGAAAAGAAAACUUUUGGAAAACUCAUCACUAAACAGCAAGUUACUAAAAGUAAAUGGAAGCACCACUGCCAUUUGUGCCACAGGCCUUCGGAAUUUGGGGAACACGUGUUUUAUGAAUGCCAUCCUUCAGUCACUCAGUAACAUUGAACAGUUUUGCUGUUAUUUCAAAGAACUGCCUGCUGUGGAGUUAAGGAAUGGGAAGACGGCAGGAAGGCGAACAUACCACACCAGGAGCCAAGGGGAUAACAACGUGUCUUUGGUGGAAGAGUUUAGAAAGACACUCUGUGCUUUAUGGCAAGGUAGCCAAACUGCAUUUAGCCCAGAGUCCUUAUUUUAUGUUGUUUGGAAGAUUAUGCCAAAUUUUAGGGGCUAUCAGCAGCAGGAUGCCCAUGAAUUCAUGCGCUACCUUUUGGACCACCUGCACUUGGAACUCCAGGGCGGUUUCAAUGGUGUUUCCUGCUCACCAAUUCUGCAGGAGAAUUCUACCCUGUCUGCAAGUAACAAAUGUUGCAUAAAUGGAGCAUCUACAGUUGUCACGGCUAUAUUUGGAGGCAUUCUCCAAAAUGAGGUUAACUGCCUUAUAUGUGGGACAGAAUCUAGAAAGUUUGAUCCAUUCCUAGACCUUUCAUUAGAUAUUCCAAGUCAAUUCAGAAAUAAGCGCUCUAAGAAUCAAGAAAAUGGACCAGUUUGUUCAUUACGAGAUUGUCUUCGCAGUUUUACCGACCUAGAAGAGCUUGAUGAGACAGAGUUAUAUAUGUGCCACAAAUGCAAAAAGAAACAAAAGUCCACUAAAAAGUUUUGGAUUCAAAAACUACCCAAGGUGCUAUGCUUACAUUUGAAACGAUUUCAUUGGACAGCAUAUUUAAGAAACAAAGUUGACACAUAUGUAGAGUUUCCACUGAGAGGUCUAGACAUGAAAUGCUACUUACUAGAGCCUGAGAACAGUGGCCCUGAGAACUGCCUGUACGACCUCGCCGCUGUGGUGGUGCACCAUGGUUCCGGGGUGGGUUCUGGACAUUACACAGCAUAUGCAACUCAUGAAGGCCGCUGGUUCCAUUUCAAUGACAGCACUGUGACGCUGACGGAGGAAGACACCGUGGUGAAGGCCAAGGCCUACAUCCUUUUCUACGCGGAGCGCCAGGCCAGAGCUGGGCCGGAUAAACUUUAAUACCUCCUCUCAAUCGUUACUUGUCAACUAUGCCGGACAAACAUUUCCAAUUUUCCUUCUACCAGAAAACCUCAGCAGAUAUUUUGAUUUGCUGCUUUAGUGGUAAUAAUUCAGUUUUUAUAUGUGGUUCCAAGAACUUAGUUCUAUUGGACGUUUUUAUAUUAAUGUUUCAGUUCUCACUUUGAGGCACAUUUACAUCAAUGCUUUGUUGCUCUCACAUGCUGGCAGUAAGGCAUGUUCCUGACGGGAGAGCACUGCGGCUGCCUGCUGCUCUGCACAGCUGUGCCGGAGACCAGGCUGACUCUGAAUCAGGAAUCACGUGCGUGUGUGGUCUGGCCCAUGAGGUUUCAGUGACUGCUCAGGAACCAUCCGUUCUGCUUGUAAAGGUAGCAGGGCAUCACGAAGUAGACCAGGGAACGGAUGCUCUUGUCUUUCUCAAGGCUGCUGUUCAUCAGCACGAACUAAAUAACUUUGUUGGUUCAGUGAUAUCUGUACUGCAAAUUCAAGAAUUACUGUGUUGGUUUUUAGGUUUUGAGGUAUAUUUUUAAUGUGUGUUUUCAUGGAGAAGAUAGGAGUACAGAAAAGACCAAAUGCAUUUAGUGUUUAAAAAAUCCUCUGACUCAGCUACAUGGUUUUGGUGCUCCCGGUGAGAUGCGAACAUGGCUUUGUUUGCAUCAGCAUCUGUUUCCCCAUUCACCGUAGCCCUGGGGAUAACUGCAUGCUCACUGUGGUCUUACUUCGCCUAACUCCAGAGUUUAUUUUGACCACCUACUUCUCAGGUAACACUGUGGGCCCUGCUUCUACAGAAGGAAAUGAGUCUUUAUGGCCCUAUUUCAUUGGCCUAUCCAACUUAGCAGAGCAAGCUGAAAGGAUUCUCACUUUGAAUAAGUAGUUUCUAUCUCUUAGUAGUCUCUCUAAAUUUUCAGGAAAAAUUGGUACAAGCACUAUUCAAAUUUAACUCAAAUUGAAAUUUGGAACUAGAAUCCCAUGUUAAAUCCCACAUUCCCUCAGAGCAGAUCAUAUCCACUAAACCAGUGGUUCUCAACCUUCCUAAGGCCGCGACCCUUUAAUACAGCUCCUCAUGUUGUGGUGACCCCCAAUUUCAUUGUUACAAAUUGAACAUAAUUAAAGCAUAGUGAUUAAUCACAAAA